rnacentral:ncRNA from 1 species
UAAAAGUUUGAUUUUGGCUUAAUUAUUUAAUUUAUUAUUUAUAUUAUAUGUAAAUUUUUGUGAUUUUAUUUAUUAAUUUAGAAAAAUAAUAUAAUUUAUUUUAAAUUACAGUAAUUAGUUUUAUAAUAGUAUAAUAUACAUAUAUAAUAUAUAUAUAUAUAUAUACAAUUAAAUAAAUUUAGAUUUAGAAAUUUAUAAUUAAAAUAAAAUAAAAUUGUGCCAGCAUUUGCGGUUAUACAAUUUAUUUAAUUAAAUAUUUUUAUUAUUUUAUUAAUAAUGAUUAUAUAUAUAUAUAUAUAUAUAUAUAUAUUAAUUUAUAAGAAUUAUUUCUAAAGUGAAAUUUGUAAUUUUUUUUAAUUUAUUUAAUUUUAUUAAAAUUUAUUAAAUUAUUAAAAUAAACUAGGAUUAGAUACCCUAUUAUUAAUAAUGUUAUAUAUAUAUAUAUAUAUAUUAUUUAUAAUUGAGUAUUAAUAGUUAAAUUCUUUAAAUUCAAAAAAUUUGGCGGUAUUUUAUCUAAUUAGGGGAACUUGUUUAUUAAAUGAUAUUCCACGAGGAACCUUACUUUUAUUAAAAAUUUAUGUAUUUCCGUUAUAAGAAAAUUUUUGGAGAAUUAUAAAUUUUCUUAAUUUUAUUAAUUAAAAUUUAUUUCAGGUCAAAGUGUAGUUUAUAUAAAAGUUAAAAUGAGUUACAAUAAAAUUUAUUUAUUAUGAAUAUUAGUUUUAUAAUAAUUAAUUGAAGGAGAACUUAAUAGUAAAAUUUAAUAGAAUAUAAUUUUGAAUUAAGAUCUAGAAUAUGUACAUAUUGCCCGUCACUCUCAUUAUAAGAUGAGAUAAGUCGUAACAAAGUAGAAGUACUGGAAAGUGUUUCUAGAAGUUUUU